UACCUAGUGAUACGACUUUUAGGUGAUACCAUCCAAACAGUGGUGUGAAUAGUCAUAAAAAUUAUUCACCAAUCUUCGAAAAGAGUGGAUUCACCAAAUAGGGAAAGAUACGGUAACAUAACCAGUGAGAUAAAAUUCGUCAUGUCUUGGUCUGCCUAUUUUAUUUGUCACGACAUUAAGAGGGCUUGAUUUUUAAUUUAUGUUUGGUUGAGGGCCAUAUGUGUGUUUUUGUAUGUUCUAUCUAUAGCUGGCCAUUGGGCCAGGGCUUUCCGAGUGGCUAGGAAGCCCGAUUGUCCAGUCCCGACUCGAGCUGGCGCCGGCACAGUGCAAAUCGGCCCGGCCUAUGGCGUGCUAGAAUCUCCACCUUGAGCCCGCAGCCCUUUUUUUAUUUUUUUCUACAUUUGGCCCAGCGUUUCUCCAAAUUUUGGACCAAACCAACUCGUUUUCUACGUUUGCCCCAUCAUCUUUCCAAGUUUAAGCCAACCAUUAAAUUUUUUGUACA
rnacentral:lncRNA from 1 species